UGUGUGUGUGUUGGAUUUGGAUCAAGGAAGGAGAUGGCAUGAGGAUGAGGCAGUGGAUGGAGGAAGAGGGCGAUGAUGGCUGACGGAGGAGGCAGAUCUUGAUCCAGGCCGACCCUCGUGUCGGAUCUGUUCGUUGAGAUGAUCUUCUCUCCUCCCAUCUCCCCUCUCUUAUCUCACUGACCCCGUCAAGUCUCUGCAGGUAGAGCGGCGUGAGGAGCAGGCCAAUAUCUCUCUUUACCUCCACCCAACACCAACAUGGUGAGCAAGUCUCCCCUAUAUAACCCCGGGUCUGAUCAUCAAUUGCACUUUGAUCUAGCACUGGUAAUAUCUUGCAUGCGUUGGAAGACUACCUGCCAGUUUUGCUAGCAUUGGUUAAAGAUGGAUAGAUAGCGUGUGAAAUCUCUUCUUUGAGGAGGAUGACGAUUGCCAAUGAACAUUAACCCCAACAAGAGCGAAACACAGGCUUACGGUGGGGUGAUCCACGUAUCCUACUUCUACUGUAGAGAGUGAAACAGAGAUAUUUUUUUUGGAUGAGAAAUACAUUGUCCCAGGCAACCUCUCCUAGUAAAAAGAGUGAUGGGCGCUAUCCCGUACGUUUUCUUCCAGUCGAAGCAACCUCUUUCUGUUCCUCUCAUUCUCCUCUUCCUCUC